rnacentral:rRNA from 1 species
UAGGGAAUAUUGGACAAUGGGGGCAACCCUGAUCCAGCCAUGCCGCGUGAGUGAAGAAGGCCCUCGGGUUGUAAAGCUCUUUUGUCCGGAAAGAAAAGCUUCGGGUUAAUACCCCGGGGUUCUGACGGUACCGGAAGAAUAAGCACCGGCUAACUUCGUGCCAGCAGCCGCGGUAAUACGAAGGGUGCAAGCGUUACUCGGAAUUACUGGGCGUAAAGCGUGCGUAGGUGGUUGUUUAAGUCUGAUGUGAAAGCCCUGGGCUCAACCUGGGAAUGGCAUUGGAAACUGGGCAGCUAGAGUGCGGUAGAGGGUAGUGGAAUUCCCGGUGUAGCAGUGAAAUGCGUAGAGAUCGGGAGGAACAUCUGUGGCGAAGGCUACUGCCUGGACCAGCACUGACACUGAGGCACGAAAGCGUGGGGAGCAAACA